AUUGAACGCUGGCGGCAGGCCUAACACAUGAAAGUCGAACGAGGGGCGGACGGGUGAGUAAUGUAGGGGAAACUGCCAGAUGGAGGGGGAUAACUACUGGAAACGGUAGAUAAUACCGCAUAACAGCGGACGGGCCCGGAUGGGAUUAGCUAGUAGGGGGGGUAACGGCGCACCUAGGCGACGAUCCCUAGCUGGGCUGAGAGGAGGACCAGCCACACUGGGACUGUGACACGGUCCAGACUCCGACGGGAGGCAGCAGUGGGGAAUAUUGCACAAUGGGCGCAAGCCUGAUGCAGCCAUGCCGCGUGUAUGAAGAAGGCCUUAGGGUUGUAAAGUACUUUCAUCGAGGAGGCGUUACUCGCAGAAGAAUCAUCGGCUAACUCCGUGCCAGCCGCCGCGGUAAUAC
rnacentral:rRNA from 1 species